UAAGGAAUAUUGGACAAUGGUCGCAAGACUGAUCCAGCCAUGCCGCGUGCAGGAAGACGGCCCUAUGGGUUGUAAACUGCUUUUGUACCAGAGAAAACCUAUCUACUGGUAGAUAGCUGAUAGUAUGGUAAGAAUAAGCAUCGGCUAACUUCGUGCCAGCAGCCGCGGUAAGACGAAGGAUGCAAGCGUUAUCCGGAUUCAUUGGGUUUAAAGGGUGCGUAGGCGGGCUUGUAAGUCAGUGGUGAAAGCUCUCAGCUUAACUGAGAAACUGCCAUGGAUACUGCAGGCCUAGAGUAUAGAUGACGAUGGCGGAACAUGACAUGUAGAGGUGAAAUACUUAGAUAUGUCACAGAACACCGAUGGCGAAGGC
rnacentral:rRNA from 1 species